CAAGUCGAACGGAGGGAGCAAUCCUUCAGUGGCGCACGGGUGAGGAACACGUAGCUGACCUGCCUCGGAGAGCGGGAUAACGGGUCGAAAGACCUGCUAAUACCGCAUAAGCUCACGGUUUUUGGAAAGUUGUGAGAAAAGGCGAAAGCCGCUUCGAGAGGGGGCUGCGACCCAUCAGGUAGUUGGUAAGGUAACGGCUUACCAAGCCGACGACGGGUAACGGGUCUGAGAGGAUGAUCCGUCACACUGGGACUGAGACACGGCCCAGACUCCUACGGGAGGCAGCAGUGAGGAAUAUUGCACAAUGGGCGCAAGCCUGAUGCAGCGACGCCGCGUGGGUGAUGAAGGCUUUCGGGUCGUAAAACCCUUUUCUGUGUGACGAGCAAGGACGGUAGCACAGGAAUAAGCCUCGGCUAACUACGUGCCAGCAGCCGCGGUAAAACGUAGGAGGCGAGCGUUAUCCGGAGUUACUGGGCGUAAAGCGCGUGUAGGUGGCUUGUUACGUCUGCUGUGAAAGCGCCCGGCUUAACCGGGACGAUGCGGUAGAUACGGGCAAGCUCGAGGGUGACAG
rnacentral:rRNA from 1 species